rfam:Brachypodium distachyon strain Bd21 chromosome 3, whole genome shotgun sequence.
CUCGUACUCCCUCCAUCCUAUAUUAAGUGACUCAAAUUUGUCUAAAUAUGAAUGUAUAUAUAUAUAUAUACUAAAAUACAUCUAGAUACAUGUAACAGAAAGGCACUUAAUAUGGGACGGAGGGAGUACAAG